AUGAACGUUGGCGGCGUGCCUUAGGCAUGCAAAUCAAGGGGGACCCGCAGCAAUGCGGGGUAACCGGUGGACGGGUGAGUAAUGCGUGGGAAUCUACCUCGAAGUUGGACAUAGCUCAUCGAAAAGAUGGGGUAAUUUCCAAUGUGAACGUAAGUUCAAAGUCGCAAGACGCUUUGAGAGGAGCCCUGCGUCCUAUCAGCUAGUUGGUGGGGUAAAUAGCCUACCAAGGCAACGACGGGUAUCUGGACUGAGAGGUCGGCCAGACACAAUGGGACUGCGACACGGCCCAUACACCUACGGGUGGCAGCAACCGGGAAUAUUCGACAAUGGACGAAAGUCUGAUCGAGCGACGCCGCGUGGAGGAUGAAGGCCUUCGGGUUGUAAACUCCCUUUUAUCUGGGAAGAUUAUGACUGUACCAGAUGAAUAAGCACUUGCUAAACUACGUGCCAGAAGCCUCGGUAAUGCGUAGAGUGCAAACGUUAUCCGGAUUUUAUUGGGUGUUAAAGAGUUGCGUGGGCUGUUUAGCGCAUUUUGUUUGAAAGACUACGACUUAAUCGUAGUUUUGGACAAAAUAUGGCUAAACUUGAUGACUUCAGAGGGUGCUGGAACCGAUGGUGUAGCAGUGAAAUGCGUUGAUAUCAUCGGGAACACCAAAGGCCGUAGGCAGGCACCUAGGGAGUACAUGACGCUGAGGCCACGAAAAGCUGGGGGAGCGAAACAGAUUAGAGACCUGUGUAGUCCCAGCCGUAAACUAUGUCUGCUAGAUACCCGAUUUUAUUGGUGGUGUCGCAGCUAACGCGUUUAAGCAGACCGCCUGGGGAGUACGAGCGCAAGCUUUAAAACUCAAAGGAAUUGACGGGGACCCGCACAAGCAGUGGAGCGUGUUGUUCAAUUCGAUACGAAACGAAAAACCUCACCAGGGUUUGACAUGUACCUGCAAGCGCACGGAAAACGUGUGACCUUCGAGGGUGGUACACAGAUGCUGCAUGGCUGUCGUCAGCUCGUGGCGUGAGCUGUUCCAUUAAGUUGGGAAAACGAGCGCAACCCUCAUCCUGUGUUAAAUAGUUCACAGGAAACAGCCCCGCAUUUGCGGGGAGGAAGACGAGGAUGACGUUCAAGUCAGCACGGUUCUUACACCCUGGGCACAAAACACACUACAAUGGCGAAAAACAACGAGUUGCAAGCUAGUAAUAGCAAGCUAAUCUCUGAAAUUUCGCCCUCAGUUCAAGAUUGGGGUCUGCAACCCGACCCCAUGAAGUUGGAAUUGCUAGUAAUCGCGGAUCAGCGAGCCGCGGUGAAUACGUUUCUCGGAUCUUGUACACACCGCCCGUCAAGGCAGCAAAGUCAGGGGCGCCUGAAAGUGCCGUUUAGGUUCCAAGGCGAAACUGGCGAUGAAGCUU
rnacentral:rRNA from 1 species